rnacentral:rRNA from 1 species
UACGUAGGGUCCGAGCGUUGUCCGGAAUUAUUGGGCGUAAAGAGCUCGUAGGCGGUUUGUCACGUCUGCUGUGAAAUCCCGAGGCUCAACCUCGGGCCUGCAGUGGGUACGGGCAGACUGGAGUGCGGUAGGGGAGAUCGGAAUUCCUGGUGUAGCGGUGAAAUGCGCAGAUAUCAGGAGGAACACCGGUGGCGAAGGCGGAUCUCUGGGCCGAUACUGACGCUGAGGAGCGAAAGCGUGGGGAGCGAACAGG